CCUGCCUUGGAGUGGGGAAUAACAGCUGGAAACAGCUGCUAAUACCGCAUGAUGCAGUUGGGUCGCAUGGCUCUGACUGCCAAAGAUUUAUCGCUCUGAGAUGGACUCGCGUCUGAUUAGCUAGUUGGCGGGGUAACGGCCCACCAAGGCGACGAUCAGUAGCCGGACUGAGAGGUUGGCCGGCCACAUUGGGACUGAGACACGGCCCAGACUCCUACGGAAGGCAGCAG
rnacentral:rRNA from 1 species